rnacentral:rRNA from 1 species
CCCCAGACUCCUACGGGAGGCAGCAGUGGGGAAUAUUGCACAAUGGGGGAAACCCUGAUGCAGCGACGCCGCGUGAGCGAUGAAGUAUUUCGGUAUGUAAAGCUCUAUCAGCAGGGAAGAAGAUGACGGUACCUGACUAAGAAGCCCCGGCUAACUACGUGCCAGCAGCCGCGGUAAUACGUAGGGGGCAAGCGUUAUCCGGAUUUACUGGGUGUAAAGGGAGCGUAGACGGCGGCGCAAGCCAGAUGUGAAAGCCCGGGGCUCAACUCCGGGACUGCAUUUGGAACUGUGUGGCUGGAGUGUCGGAGAGGCAGGCGGAAUUCCUAGUGUAGCGGUGAAAUGCGUAGAUAUUAGGAGGAACACCAGUGGCGAAGGCGGCCUGCUGGACGAUGACUGACGUUGAGGCUCGAAAGCGUGGGGAGCAAACAGGAUUAGAUACCCCUGUACCG